GCAGAGUCAAAUGAAACCAGAGAAGUACAUGACUUCCUUGUUUGCAUACUUGGAGAGUUUCAGGGUCGGGGAGAUAAAAGUAGUGGGAACAUACACAGAUUAGAGAGCAGGUGCACGGCUGUGGGACAAAAGAGGGUUUCACCGAAAAGUCGUUCACACUGCUGCAGGUCAAGAUUAUAAAUGUUAUUGAAACACUGCAUCACGUUGUCAAAUGAGAUCUUACUGAUAAACAGGACAUUAUUGCACAUAUUCACAACUGCUACAAUUAAGAUCAAGUAUCUUGAUCGAAAGAUGGGAUGAAGUUCACACAUUGGAUCAAUGAAACACGUGUCCCCGUGUGUGAGAACUGUUCUUGUCCGUGUGCACUGGAGACACUGAUCAUUGUGAAGAACCUUUUAAAAAAAGAAUCCUCCCUCUCCCACUUCGCUCGGACUCAGCUGCUCCCGGGGCCUAGUCACAAACGACCGAUUACCCCUGAAACUACCAGAUCUCAAACUAGAACUACUUUUGAAAAAACAAUCGUCAUGAACUACAACUUAAAACCCACUUAAAUCUCAUAUGGCAGAACCCCAGACAGGGGUGAGGUGAUGUGUGGUGAUGUGUGGUGAUGUGAGGUGAUGUGAGGUGAGGUGUGGUGAGGUGAGGUGAUGUGUGGUGAGGUGGCUGCAGGCCCGGGCCCCGCGGGUCACAGCUGGAGACCGUCGCCCGCCACCAACUGCUCAAAGUUCACUCGAGGGCCGGUGUCGUCGAGUUGAAAAGCGGAACCAGGCCACACACGCACAGACGUCGACUAAAGGAAGCACUCACCUGAGGCCGCGCAGAGGAACAAAGCGAGCGACACCAGCCCGCUGACGACGAGCAUGUUCGGUCCCCGGUGCUCAGACGACGCCUGCUCCUCAACUCUUCACCGACAACUGUCCCGGACAAACGAGCAGAAACCUUCCGGACAAACGAGCAGAAACCUUCCGGACAAACGAGCAGAAACCUUCCGGACAAACGAGCAGAAACCUUCCGGACAAACACUCGUCUCCGACACUCUCCCGACUCCUUUAAAUCCACCGUCCGAACGUCGCCACCUGUGACAACCGACCGCUCUCACCUGAGGGAGUGCGCCCAGGUAACAACAAGCCCAGUGACUUCCGGUUAUAGGAUCCCCCUCAGGUGGCCGGGUGACGACAGAGAGGAAGAACCGGUCCGACCGGAACCGAACCACGGAACAACCGCGCCGACAGGAAACACGUCGGUCGAUUAUUACUCGACAGGUGUGCCGCUGUGACGCUGAUUUUCUUCUUCUUCUCUCAUAUUCGCGUGUUUUCUCUUCCCUGUUCACUCGACGCUGUGAUAACAAAUGUCGUGUUCAUUUAGCCGAACCACAAGGAACCAAAACACAACAGGCCAAUAUUUCAUGAUUUAAUCAACUACUACUACUACUACUACUACUACUAAUAAUAAUAAUAAUUCAAAAAAAGCACAUACUUACAAAUAAGCACUUAAAGCGGGUUUUGCCUAUUUGUCGAAUGUUUAUGUACUCUAUUCUUGCACCUUUUGAGUAAUCUUCAUAAUCUUCAUGGUUGACUGCACUUAUUGUAAGUCGCUUUGGACAAAAGCGUCUGCUAAAUGGAUGUAAUCUAAUAAUAUUAAUAAUAAUAACGAUGAUGAUUAUUAUUUUUAUUACUAUUAUCAUCGUUUUUGUUGUUGUAGGCUACAUGAGGUCUAAUACCAUACUCAUUUAGAGUUUCAGUGACUGGGACAAAGCUGAGACAACAAGAAAUAUGUUUGAUUUUGGUUGUUUUACGUCAGCUGUGGCAUGUUAUGUCGCCUCCUCGUCUCCGUUCUCCACCUGUGAGCGCCUGCUGGUUUCACUGCACUGCGUCCAUUUCUUCUCAGUUUAAAAACAUAAAUCUGAUGCAUUUUGACUGAUAGGUGUAUAUGUUUUUCAUGUGAUUUUACCCCAAAGUACAUACAGCAGAUAUUACAGUAUUGACAAAACAAUAUGGGCUAUAAUUUGUUUAUUUUCUGUGGAUGGGAAUUGCAUCAACUCAACUGAAAUAAUAAUAAAUAAAUAUGGUAUAAAAUCAA